GACGAACGCUGGCGGCGUGCUUAACACAUGCAAGUCGAACGAGAAAGCCCUUCGGGGUAAGUACAGUGGCGAACGGGUGAGUAACACGUGGGCAACCUGCCCCAGAGAGCGGGACAACCCGGGGAAACCCGGGCUAAUACCGCAUGAUGCGUCUCCACUUAAGUGGAGCCGCCAAAUGGUCGCUUCGGCUUCCGCUCCGGGAUGGGCCCGCGCCGGAUGAGCUAGUUGGCUGGGGUAACGGCCCACCAAGGCGACGAUCCGGAGGUGGGCCGGGGGGAAGAUCAGCCACACUGGGACUGGGACACGGCCCAGAAGCCUACGGGAGGCAGCAGUGGGGAAUCUUGCGCAAUGGGGGAAAGCCUGACGGAACAACGCCGCGUGGGGGAAGAAGGCCUUCGGGUUGUAAACCUCUUUCAGUAGGGACGAAGCUUCCGGGGUUAAUAGCCUACGGGGUGACGGUACCUACAGAAGAAGCCCCGGCUAACUACGUGCCAGCCGCCGCCGUAA
rnacentral:rRNA from 1 species